GAAAAUCCGUCGACUUUAAAAAUCGUGAGG
rnacentral:tRNA from 1 species